GAAUUUUGGACAAUGGGCGAAAGCCUGAUCCAGCCAUUCCGCGUGCAGGAUGAAGGCCUUCGGGUUGUAAACUGCUUUUGUACGGAACGAAACGCGCUGAGCUAAUACCUCGGCGUAAUGACGGUACCGUAAGAAUAAGCACCGGCUAACUACGUGCCAGCAGCCGCGGUAAUACGUAGGGUGCAAGCGUUAAUCGGAAUUACUGGGCGUAAAGCGUGCGCAGGCGGUGAUGUAAGACAGAUGUGAAAUCCCCGGGCUCAACCUGGGAACUGCAUUUGUGACUGCAUCGCUGGAGUGCGGCAGAGGGGGAUGGAAUUCCGCGUGUAGCAGUGAAAUGCGUAGAUAUGCGGAGGAACACCGAUGGCGAAGGCAAUCCCCUGGGCCUGCACUGACGCUCAUGCACGAAAGCGUGGGGAGCAAACAG
rnacentral:rRNA from 1 species